rnacentral:rRNA from 1 species
AUUGAACGCUGGCGGCAUGCUUUACACAUGCAAGUCGAACGGUAACAGGUCUUCGGAUGCUGACGAGUGGCGAACGGGUGAGUAAUACAUCGGAACGUGCCUAGUAGUGGGGGAUAACUACUCGAAAGAGUAGCUAAUACCGCAUGAGAUCUACGGAUGAAAGCAGGGGACCUUCGGGCCUUGUGCUACUAGAGCGGCUGAUGGCAGAUUAGGUAGUUGGUGGGGUAAAGGCUUACCAAGCCGGCGAUCUGUAGCUGGUCUGAGAGGACGACCAGCCACACUGGGACUGAGACACGGCCCAGACUCCUACGGGAGGCAGCAGUGGGGAAUUUUGGACAAUGGGCGAAAGCCUGAUCCAGCAAUGCCGCGUGCAGGAUGAAGGCCCUCGGGUUGUAAACUGCUUUUGUACGGAACGAAAAGCCUGGGGCUAAUAUCCUCGGGUCAUGACGGUACCGUAAGAAUAAGCACCGGCUAACUACGUGCCAGCCGCCGCGGUAACAC